AACAAACGCUGGCGGCGUGCCUAAUACAUGCAAGUCGAACGGGGAAAGCUUUCGGGUGAGUACUAGUGGCGCACGGGUGAGGAACGCGUGGAUAAUCUGCCUUAGAGUGGGGGAUAACUAGUCGAAAGAUUAGCUAAUACCGCAUAAGACCACAGGAGCUGCGGCUCUAGGGGUCAAAGGUUUUUCGCUCUAAGAUGAGUCCGCGUAAGAUUAGCUAGUUGGUGAGGUAACGGCUCACCAAGGCGACGAUCUUUAACUGGUCUGAGAGGAUGAUCAGUCACACUGGAACUGAGACACGGUCCAGACUCCUACGGGAGGCAGCAGUAGGGAAUAUUGCACAAUGGAGGAAACUCUGAUGCAGCGACGCCGCGUGAGUGAUGAAGGCCUUCGGGUCGUAAAGCUCUGUCGCAGGGGAAUAACACAAUGAAUGUACCCUGUAAGAAAGGAUCGGCUAACUUCGUGCCAGCCGCCGCCGUAAAAC
rnacentral:rRNA from 1 species